GGCAUUUGUGUUCUCUUAGGGUCUGUAUGACAUCAGUCCAGGAUCUUCUGGCCUUCAUAGUUUCUGGGGAGAAGUCUGGUGUGAUUCUGAUAGGUCUGCCUUUAUAUGUUACUUGACCUUUUUCCCUUACUGCUUUUAAUAUUCUUUCUUUAUUUUGUGCGUUUGGUGUUUUGACAAUUAUGUGACAGGAGGUGUUUCUUUUCUGGUCCAAUCUAUUUGGAGUUCUGUAGGCUUCUUGUAUGCCUAUGGGUAUCUCUUUUUUUUAGGUUAGGGAAGUUUUCUUCUAUGAUUUUGUUGAAGAUAUUUACUGGUCCUUUGAGCUGGGAGUCUUCACUCUCUUCUAUACCUAUUAUCCUUAGGUUUGAUCUUCUCAUCGAGUCCUGGAUUUCCUGUAUGUUUUGGACCAGUAGCUUUUUCCACUUUACAUUAUCUUUGACAGUUGAGUCUAUGACUUCUAUGGAAUCUUCUGCUCCUGAGAUUCUCUCUUCUAUCUCUUGUAUUCUGUUGGUGAAGCUUGUAUCUACGGCUCCUUGUCUCUUCUUUUGGUUUUCUAUAUCCAGGGGUGUUUCCAUGUGUUCUUUCUUGAUUGCUUCUAUUUCCAUUUUUAAUUCCUUCAACUGUUUUAUUGUGUUUUCCUGGAAUUCUUUCAGGGAUUUUUGUGUCUCCUCUCUAUGGGCUUCUACUUGUUUAUGUUUUCCUGGAAUUCUUCCAGGGAUUUUUGCGAUUCCUCUCUGUAGGCUUCUACUUGUUUAUUAAUGUUUUCCUGUGUUUCUCUAAGGGAGUUCUUCACGUCUUUCUUGAAGUCCUCCAGCAUCAUGAUCAAAUAUGAUUUUGAAACUAGAUCUUGCUUUUCUGGUGUGUUUAGAUAUUCCAUGUUUGUUUUGGUGGGAGAAUUGGGCUCCGAUGAUGCCAUGUAGUCUUGGUUUCUGUUGCUUGGAUUCCUGCGCUUGCCUCUCGCCAUCAGAUUAUCUCUAGUGUUACUUUGUUCUGCUAUUUCUGACAGUGGCUAGACUGUCCUAUAAGCCUGUGUGUCAGGAGUGCUGUAGACCUGUUUUCCUCUCUUUCAGUCAGUUAUGGGGACAGAGUGUUCUGCUUUCGGGCGUGUAGGUUUUCCUCUCUACAGGUCUUCAGCUGUUCCUGUGGGCCUGUGUCUUGAGUUCACCAGAAAAGAGCCUACCAUAACUCUCCUCCGAGAUGCUCUACACCUCAGCUGACUGAAAGCAGACUUAAGAGCUGAGAAUGAAGUUCCUCCAGGAGGCGGAUAAGCUGUGUGAAGAAGAAAGGCUACAUCUUCUGAAAGAGGACAUUGUUGGCAUUAAGAAAUUGAGACUUCACAACUCCACAAGAAGUGUUCUUUAGCCAAAGCACCAUGAACUAGAUUGAACAAACACUGUGUUAAGGAAGGGGAUAAUGACAGUUUUCCCUGUCUGGGACUGAGAGUGUGAAUAUAAGAAGUACUUAGAGGGGUUGGGGAUUUAGCUCAGUGGUAGAGCGCUUGCCUAGGAAGCGCAAGGCCCUGGGUUCGGUCCCCAGCUCCGAAAAAAAGAACCAAAAAAAAAAAAAAAAAGAAGAAGUACUUAGAGACCUCUCUCAUGACCUCACCAUAAACAAGCAACAAAGGGUUAAAAGGACAAGAGUGAAAAAACAGACAAAGCAAAAAACUGUACCAAAACAAAUAAACAAACAAACAAAAAAAAAGAAA